CGUGGGGAGGAGCUUGCUCCGCCCCGACGACGAGUGGCGAACGGGUGAGUAAUACAUCGGAACGUGUCCGCUCGUGGGGGACAACCAGCCGAAAGGUUGGCUAAUACCGCAUGAGUUCUACGGAAGAAAGAGGGGGACCCGCAAGGGCCUCUCGCGAGCGGAGCGGCCGAUGACUGAUUAGCCAGUUGGUGAGGUAACGGCUCACCAAAGCAACGAUCAGUAGCUGGUCUGAGAGGACGACCAGCCACACUGGGACUGAGACACGGCCCAGACUCCUACGGGAGGCAGCAGUGGGGAAUUUUGGACAAUGGGCGCAAGCCUGAUCCAGCUAUUCCGCGUGUGGGAUGAAGGCCCUCGGGUUGUAAACCACUUUUGUAGAGAACGAAAAGACACCAUCGAAUAAAUGGUGUUGCUGACGGUACUCUAAGAAUAAGCACCGGCUAACUACGUGCCAGCAGCCGCGGUAAUACGUAGGGUGCGAGCGUUAAUCGGAAUUACUGGGCGUAAAGGGUGCGCAGGCGGUUGAGUAAGACAGAUGUGAAAUCCCCGAGCUUAACUCGGGAAUGGCAUAUGUGACUGCUCGACUAGAGUGUGUCAGAGGGAGGUGGAAUUCCACGUGUAGCAGUGAAAUGCGUAGAUAUGUGGAAGAACACCGAUGGCGAAGGCAGCCUCCUGGGACA
rnacentral:rRNA from 1 species